AUUGAACGCUGGCGGCACGCCUUACACAUGCAAGUCGAACGGUAACAGGUUAAGCUGACGAGUGGCGAACGGGUGAGUAAUAUAUCGGAACGUGCCCAGUCGUGGGGGAUAACGUAGCGAAAGCUACGCUAAUACCGCAUACGAUCUACGGAUGAAAGCGGGGAUCGCAAGACCUCGCGCGAUUGGAGCGGCCGAUAUCAGAUUAGGUUGUUGGUGAGGUAAAAGCUCACCAAGCCUGCGAUCUGUAGCUGGUCUGAGAGGACGACCAGCCACACUGGAACUGAGACACGGUCCAGACUCCUACGGGAGGCAGCAGUGGGGAAUUUUGGACAAUGGACGCAAGUCUGAUCCAGCAAUGCCGCGUGCAGGACGAAGGCCUUCGGGUUGUAAACUGCUUUUGUACGGAACGAAACGGUGAGCUCUAAUACAGUUUGCUAAUGACGGUACCGUAAGAAUAAGCACCGGCUAACUACGUGCCAGCAGCCGCGGUAA
rnacentral:rRNA from 1 species